rnacentral:rRNA from 1 species
GCGACCCCNNNUCAGGCGGGACUACCCGCUGAGUUUAAGCAUAUCAAUAAGCGGAGGAAAAGAA